rnacentral:tRNA from 1 species
CUCUAAAUAGCUUAGUUUGAGCAUUAAAUUUUUAAUUUAAAGGUGAUAACAAAAUAUUAUUUUUGGAGG